rnacentral:rRNA from 1 species
UACAGAGGGUGCAAGCGUGGUUCGGAAUUAUUGGGCGUAAAGGGCGCGUAGGCGGCCGCGUAUGUCCGGUGUGAAAGCCCACCUCUUAAAGGUGGAAUUGCAUCGGAAACUACGUGGCUAGAGUGUCGGAGAGGAUGGUGGAAUUCCUGGUGUAGAGGUGAAAUUCGUAGAUAUCAGGAGGAACACCGGUGGCGAAGGCGGCCAUCUGGACGACUACUGACGCUGAGGCGCGAAAGCGUAGGGAGCAAACAGG